GCUGUGUAACCAGAUGUUUGACUCUCCGGCAAAGCUCCUGUGUCACCUGAUUGAGCACAGCUUCGAGGGGAUGGGAGGCACAUUCAAAUGCCCUGUUUGUUUCACAGUGUUUGUACAGGCAAACAAACUGCAGCAGCACAUCUUUGCAGUCCACGGGCAGGAAGAUAAAAUUUAUGACUGUUCCCAGUGCCCACAGAAGUUCUUCUUUCAAACAGAGCUUCAGAACCACACAUUGAGCCAGCACGCACAGUGAGCCACUGGCACUACAGGACACCUCUCUGCAGAAGACUUGACGGUGGCACAGUGGGGAGGACCAUUUGAACAUUACAUCCAAUCAAAGUGUCAUUUGCAACCCAGAUGUAAAACUCUAAUGAUUUGGCCAUGAGGCGCUGCUAUUAUAAGCAGCUGGAAAUGAAUAUUAAUGGAAGAGAUUAAAAGUAUUCCAUGCUCAGUAUUUUUUAUUGUCCUGCUUCAGCUAGUGUACUUUAGAGCUUCUGCUUCUGACUGAAUUUAUAGUGUUAGAUAAAUCUGCUUUGAUGCUGUUGCCCUUUGUUGCUUCUUGUAUUAUAUUGAUAGUUAAAGAUUAGGUGUGAUUUUUUUUUUCUUUUUUGUUAACUGCUUUUUAAUUGCAAUUUUAGGUAACUGUGCAUUGUGAUGUGAUUGCUUGGCUAUUGUCUGAAUAUUUCCUUUUAAUUUUUUAAUUAAAGACUAAUGCUUUGAUUGGAUUUGCCAGUUCACCGGACAGUGAUUAAAACUAUGUAAUGAAUAUAAUCGGUUUCAGUGCAACUGGAUGGUCUGCUUUAUAAAUGUGACUUAAUCUGAUUGCAAUAACUAGUACAGUUCAAUAAAGGGAAUACAUGA